rnacentral:rRNA from 1 species
UACGAAGGGGGCUAGCGUUGUUCGGAAUCACUGGGCGUAAAGGGCGCGUAGGCGGCCGAUCAAGUCGGGGGUGAAAGCCUGUGGCUCAACCACAGAAUUGCCUUCGAUACUGGAAGUCUUGAGUCCGGGAGAGGUGAGUGGAACUCCGAGUGUAGAGGUGAAAUUCGUAGAUAUUCGGAAGAACACCAGUGGCGAAGGCGGCUCACUGGCCCGGUACUGACGCUGAGAUACGAAAGCGUGGGGAGCAAACAGG